GGGUGUGUAGCUCAGUGGAUAGAGCGUGUGGCUACGGACCACAAAGUCGGGGGUUCAACUCCCUCCUCACUCA
rnacentral:tRNA from 1 species